rnacentral:rRNA from 1 species
AUGGAAAAUUGCAUUUUUGUAAUUGGCAAUAAUGCGAUGGGCGAUCGACGGCAAUUGAACCCGUGCAUGGUGGAUUCACAAUCCACUUGUCUAUACUGA